rnacentral:lncRNA from 1 species
CUGCUUUCCUUUUAUUAGACAUAAGUAUUGUGCUGUUGUUGUUUAAAUCAUCAACAAUUUGCCGCUUAAAAAUAUACUGCUAAAUCGUCCCAUUUUAAAGCGCUCUUACGAUACAGAUACAGACACGUGGUAUAUGAUUAUCACUUCUCCUACUUUGGAGGUGUGCCUAAAUUGGCAGAUAGAUCUAUACUUUAACGGGGACCUCGACGAAGACACCUAUAAACAUACACAUGAACGGCGUACACAGAGAUUAUCACUUGAGGAAAGAAAUAAAUUAGAUUUGAACGAUCUUCAAAAGAAUUUUACAGAUUAUUUUUUUUUUGUAUUUUUAUUUUUUCUGCCGGUACCAGACGCUUCCGUAGGCGGGUAAAAGUACCGGGUCUUAAUGAAUGCACUGUAUUUAUAAGAUUAUCAGUUAUAUCAGCUUUUUUCAGUUUAUCCAUGAUUUCAAGCUAUCAACUCUCAUAUCAGUCAUAUGGUUAAAAAAAUGUUUGAAGUUAAUAAAAAUGUAAUCUUAGAAAAUCUGAAAAACUAGUUCUGAUCUUUUUAUAAAAAAA